UGCAGUCGACGCUUCUUUUUCCACCGGAGCUUGCUCCACCGGAAAAAGAGGAGUGGCGAACGGGUGAGUAACACGUGGGUAACCUGCCCAUCAGAAGGGGAUAACACUUGGAAACAGGUGCUAAUACCGUAUAACAAUCGAAACCGCAUGGUUUUGAUUUGAAAGGCGCUUUCGGGUGUCGCUGAUGGAUGGACCCGCGGUGCAUUAGCUAGUUGGUGAGGUAACGGCUCACCAAGGCGACGAUGCAUAGCCGACCUGAGAGGGUGAUCGGCCACAUUGGGACUGAGACACGGCCCAAACUCCUACGGGAGGCAGCAGUAGGGAAUCUUCGGCAAUGGACGAAAGUCUGACCGAGCAACGCCGCGUGAGUGAAGAAGGUUUUCGGAUCGUAAAACUCUGUUGUUAGAGAAGAACAAGGAUGAGAGUAACUGUUCAUCCCUUGACGGUAUCUAACCAGAAAGCCACGGCUAACUACGUGCCAGCAGCCGCGGUAAUACGUAGGUGGCAAGCGUUGUCCGGAUUUAUUGGGCGUAAAGCGAGCGCAGGCGGUUUCUUAAGUCUGAUGUGAAAGCCCCCGGCUCAACCGGGGAGGGUCAUUGGAAACUGGGAGACUUGAGUGCAGAAGAGGAGAGUGGAAUUCCAUGUGUAGCGGUGAAAUGCGUAGAUAUAUGGAGGAACACCAGUGGCGAAGGCGGCUCUCUGGUCUGUAACUGACGCUGAGGCUCG
rnacentral:rRNA from 2 species